CAGGAUCAUCGUGGUAACUCCAGUCCUAAAGAGAUAAAGAAGAUGUCAAUUUCCCGCUUAGCUUUGGUGGCUUGUGCCUUGGUAGUCGUUAGUGCUGCUCCUCAGGAAGGCAAUCCUGCUCCUCCUCAAAUCAACUGGGGUAAAUGCUCGCAGCUAGAACCAUCAACUCAAGAAAAGGAAACCAAGCAAAAGGUGAUAAGUCAAUGUCUCCAGGAAAACCCUCCACCUAAACCUGAAGACACUCCUCAAGUAAGA